UUUACACAAAAUGACUAUUUUGACCAAUUUUUAACAUUUAUAUUAUCCUUUCUAAUUUUUAACAUUUUUACUUUUUAAAAUUUUCUUUAAUACUUUUUUAAAGUUUUAUAAUUACAUAUUUACCUUUUGUUCUUCUUCCUCAUAUCUAACCUCAUUCAGAUCUGGGUUCAACAACUCCUCUUACUCUCUCAUCAAGCUUAUCGAGCUUUCACACUUGUCUUCGCACAAUCACCAUAUGUAGCUUCUCGACAUCUGCCUCUUCUCAAGCCACCAUUAUCGUUCAAUCGAUGUUUGUAAGAUCUUCUUCUUCUUCUUCUUCUUCUUCUUCUUCUUCUUCUUCUUCUUCUUCUUCUUCUUCUUCUUCUUCUUCUCAUUUUGCUAAAAUUACAAAAAUAAAAGUUUAGAUUUGAUAGUUUUUAUAAGAGUUUGUUGUUUAUUUGCUUAUUUAUUAUUGAUUUUUCUAUUUUUCUUACAGAUUUUAGGAAUUUUGUUCUUAUUCUGUUAGUUGAGUUCUUAUAUAUAUAUACAUAUAAAAGUACACUUGCUAGGUGUUUGAUGAAAUGCCCAAGAGAAUUCUUUACUAGCUUAAAGGAAUAAGACACAUUCAAAUGUAAUUUUAUUUCAACUUUAAGUUAGCAUUUUCGUGGUAUUGUUUAGAUAUUACUUUUGUUGAUCUAUAUUUUAUCUUUUUUAUGAAUCAAAAAUUUUAUCUAAAUAUUUUAAUGGUUACGUUGAUUUAACGUUGUUUAUAAGUUGUUUUAUAGUUGUUUCAUCUUUUAAUUUUUUUUAUUGUUGCUGUUUCACCAAGUCAUCCAUUGAAGAGGCUUUCCAGGAAAAAACGUGAGGUAAUGAUGAUGAGGUUGCAACUUUAAAGAUUAAUGUAUUAGUUUUUGUUGUCUUUAUCUAGUUUCAAAGACUUCUUUUGUUAUGUUUAUUUUUUUUUUUUUCUGAUGUAUUUAGUUAGAAGAAUUGUUCAACCUUAAAUGGUUUAUGUUUCUCAUUUUUUUCUGUUUCUAAUUAGUCAUUUUUUAAUUUUAAUUUAGUUAUUAUACGAUUCUUAUUCUAAGAUUCUUAAGUUUUUUUAAAAAACUAGAUCAUUAUGCUACGUCUUACAUUUAUCAAUUGUAUUUGAAUUUGAAUUGGAAUUGUUUUAGUUGCAUGUUUAUUAAAUUUUAUAAAUUACAUUAUUUUUUAGUUGUUAUAUUGUUGUUUUAAUGUUAUUCGGUACAUGAUAUAUUGUAGUAUUAUAUAGCUAUUAAUCGUAUUUUUAUUGGUUCAUUGUUUUAUUUAUUUUGUCAUCCUAAUAUUUUUAGGUGCAUGAUAAGACCUCUGACGUUGUUGAAAAGUUGAAGCUUUCAAAGAAAAAUAUUGUCAAGGACUUGAUUUCUAGUGAUGAUGAACUUCAAAGUUGAUCAGAAUAGACUUGUUGUUCAUUUCUAUUCCUUUGGUAGAAUGAAGUGAGUUGCAAACAUUGAAAGUGUACAAGAAAAUGUUUCAAAGUCUUUUAAGAAAGUUGAAGCCACUAUACAUGAAUUAAUGAUUGAGCAGUGUAUUUGAAGUUAUUUUAUGAUGCUAUUUAAAUAUUCUGUUACAGUGAAGUUUUUAUAUAUUUAUUUAUUUAUUGUUAUUUAGUUGUUCAAUUAAGAAAAACUAUAUAUAUAUAUGUUUAAUUUUACAUGGAAACAUAUAUAAAGAUUGUUGUUGUGUUAUUUUUUUAA